CUUGAGGGUGACACUUGCAACCAUUAUUAUCUUCUUAACACUCUCUUCUUCAAUCAAUUUUCUAUCCUCUAACUUCAUCUUCCUUACGUAUUAGUAUGCACGUCGUUCAGAUUGCACCACAAGGCCCUUUCUCAAUCAGGAUUAUUGGAUCUACGCUUUGUGUUCUAGCUUUCAUUAAUGACCAUUUAGUCGAAAAUACUUCUCUCAUUUUAUCAACAUAACAGCUUUUAGAGAAAGAUUAUAGUCAACCGGAUAGUUGGCGUUUCACCCCCUGAUACAUAUCCUAAAUUUUUUGAGUCUGAUAGCAAAUCUGCUCCCCACAGAAACCUCAAGUUUCCACAGUAUGCUCACACUCACCUUGAGCACUUGUACAGUAAUUUUGGUGACUCAUUAAUGUUUAACAACAAAAGUUUCUGUAACUUAGUAUUUGGUCUGUCGUCCUGGGAAGAAAAUGACAUGCAGCAAACUAGUUAGACUUGCUUCUAAUCCGAGUAGGACAUUAUCAUGAAUCAACUAACCACUUGCACUAAUUACCAAAAUGUAACUCUGGAACCUCCCUUGCUGA
rnacentral:lncRNA from 1 species